GACACGGUGGUGUAGUGGUUAGCACUGCUGUUUCACAGCAAGAGGGUCAUGGGUUCGAAUCCAGCCUGGGGCC